AAAGUGGAGCAAUCCAUGAGUACAGUGGCGUACGGGUGAGUAACACGUGGAUAACCUGCCCCUUUGUGGGGAAUACCGUUGGGAAACCGACGACAAUACCGCAUAAGCUCGAGAGAGGAAAGCAGCAAUGCGCAGAGGGAGGGGUCCGCGGUCGGUUAGCUAGUUGGUGAGGUAAUGGCUCACCAAGGCUGUGAUCGAUAGCCGGCCUGAGAGGGCACACGGCCACACUGGCACUGAAACACGGGCCAGACUCCUACGGGAGGCAGCAGUGGGGAAUCUUGCACAAUGGGGGCAACCCUGAUGCAGCGACGCCGCGUGAGCGAUGAAGCCCUUCGGGGUGUAAAGCUCUUUCGGCAGGGAAGAUUAUGACGGUACCUGCAGAAGCAGCUGCGGCUAACUACGUGCCAGCAGCCGCGGUAAUACGUAGGCAGCAAGCGUUGUUCGGAGUUACUGGGCGUAAAGGGUGCGUAGGCGGUCCUAUAAGUAUGGUGUGAAAUCUCCCGGCUUAACUGGGAGGGUGCGCUAUAGACUGUGGGACUAGAGUGUGGGAGAGGAAAGUGGAAUUCCUGGUGUAGCGGUGAAAUGCGUAGAUAUCAGGAGGAACACCGGUGGUGUAAACGGCUUUCUGGACCAUAACUGACGCUGAGGCACGAAAGCGUGGGUAGCAAACAGGAUUAGAUACCCUGGUAGUCCACGCCCUAAACGAUGCAUAUUUGGUGUGGGUCAUUCAGUUGAUCCGUGCCGGAGCUAACGCGUUAAAUAUGCCGCCUGGGGAGUACAGUCGCAAGGCUGAAACUC
rnacentral:rRNA from 1 species